AGGUAAAAUUUUUCUUGCGAGGCAACUAACGAUAUAUAUGAUGAAUUAAAAGCUGAAUCAAGGACUGUGCACGCAUUUCCUUGAAACAAAUUUCAUUUCGUCAAAAAUUAAAUCAAAAUUUUAUUACGAAAGAAAUGAUUAGAAGAAAUGACGUAUUUGAAAGUUUAUGGUGAUAUACUGAUUACGUAUAUAAUCGUAUAUGCUGGUAUAUUGAUCACGUAUAUAAACGUAUAUGCUGGUAUACUGAUCACGUAUAUAAACGUAUAUGGUCAUAUACUGAAAUUUCAUAUACUGCCAUAUACGUAUUUUGUAUGGGCUUAAGUCGAAAAAAGUGUAUGUAUACCCUGCAGUAUUUGUAAGGAAAUUCUCAUAUAAGUUUAAAUACUUUUUCAGUCAUGUUUUUUCGCUCGGGGCAUUAUGAAAAUU